UUUAUGGAUAUAGGUUAGUGGACUCAUCCCUUCUAUAAUGUGGUGAGCAAGACCAAGAUUUCUAUAAAUAAGCUACGUUCAAAUCCUAAUUUCCAACCUCCUCCUUGUUUGGUUUCCAGCCGAGUCCUUGCUAGUCCAGUGCAGUCCAUUCGGGGUAUAAGCAAGUGUAAGGUAAACAGUUUAUGUUUCUUUCUUUUUCAUUUUGAUUAGUUAUGAAGGUAGAUGUUGUAGAAUAUUGUGAUGUUAACUGUGACUUGUAUGGAGAUCAUACCAAUUCAUGUUGCUUAUAUUAAAAAAAAAAUAAUCAACUAUGAUGUCUUAUAAGGAGCAUGAACUAACUAAUUUGUAUGUGAUGGUUAUUUAUAUAGAAAUUCGAUUUUAUUAUGGACUGUUAUGACUGGAAUUAGAUUAAAGGAGAUAGGUUGGUUGUGUGGAGAUAUAAGGGAGGAUAAAAUGGGUUUGGAGCACAAACAAAUAGCUAUGAUUCAAGUGGUUUAAAACAGUGCACACUAUGUGUUCGUUAAAAGUCCCAAGUGGACUGUUUUGUUUAAUUAUCGAGUAUUACAUGGAAUCAAAGCUUGGGUUAGAUAUGUACACCAUAUAUGAGGGUAAGUAAAGAGUUUUGACAUACUAAAUGCAAAAGAAAAGCAAUUUGAAACUAAACGAAAAUUUUGAAAUAUUGUAUGUCAAACUACAUUUGCAUACUGUUUUGGACAGCUCAAAGAACUUAAAGUAUGAGCUUAAUAUCUUUCUAAAAUGGACUAAUAUACUAUCUUCAUCAUCCCCAUAAUUGGGUAUAACUAAGCUUAUGUUUCAAGGGUUACAAAAUUGUUAAAUGGAGAGCGGAGUAGGGGACUGGGCUGCUGUCUUUGACAGCAGUAGUUGCAGUGGCUGGGGGCUCUCUUUUGAGCUCUCAGAUGGUAUAGUUAUGUUGUUUUAAUGAUUUAGUUAGCAUUCAAAUUAAUUAGGAAAGUAUAAUAGCUACUAUGUUUCCAAAAUUUAGUAUAGAGUAUAUAAAUUGGGGGUUAAAAAUUGAGCAUGAGGAAGGCAGGGCUGCUGCUCAUUUGCAGCAGCAGUUGACAGCUAACAGCCGCGAUAGCAGCUUUGGGGCAGCCUAUUUGGCUUAGUAAUGAAUUUGAUGAUUUAACCAUAAGAGAUGAUUUUAACUUUUCUAAAUAAAUAUGUAUAUCGAAUCAAUAAUGUAAUUACAAUUCAAGGUAAACGAAUGUGUAAUGUAUAUGAUGAAACUAAUAGAAUGGAAUGUCAUUAGAUUGGAGGGCUGAUUGGGGCUGCUGCCAAAUAGUAGCAGCAGGUAGCCACAAGUAACUGCUACUGCAGAUUAGGGGUUUUUAGGCUCAAGUGGGGGCUAUAGGCCAACCAAGGCCACAUCAAGUUUAGCUAAUUUCCCACAAGGCCAAACAUAAAGGGUUGUUAGCUUGGUGGGAUGUUGAGGGGCUGUUAAUGCACAAAAGAAAGCUACUAGAUACACUUAGUCAAAUAUAGGAACACAAAAAUUACCAAAGUUAGAGAGAUAAGGGCUGCUGCUCAUAGGCAGCAUCAAUUAGCCUAUUCAAUACCCUAGAAGUUGCUACAACAGGGUCCAUGGUUGGGGGGUUUCCUUUGAGUCUUUUAUUAGUACUUCUAAACUUUUAGGAUUGCCCAACUAACGUGUUUUAGUAUUAGAUAAAUGUACCAUCUACAUAUAUCCAAAACUUAAGACAAAGGAAUCAAAGGUGUGAGGAAUCAAAGCUAGUCAAAGUGAGGGACAAGAGAAGCAGAUGUUGCUUAUAAGUAGCAGCAGUUGUUAGUAAAGGACUGCUAUAGCAGUUUGGGUGGUUUAUUAACAUAAAGAGUAAUGUUUUGGUAUGCUGUUAAAACAUGUUAGUUUUAACACAUCUAUAAUGACCAAGUGUUGUAUAAGUGAGUUAGUACACUCUAAAAUAAAGCUAGCAUAGGUAAACUAAUUUGUAAUUAUUAAGCCAAGUUGGGACUAUUAAUUAAAGCCUUAGGAGGCUGUUUUGACACAAUGAAGAAAAACAAAGAUAGUUAAUACAUUAACGUAUUGAAAAGAAACUAUAAAUCAUGGGAAAGACUAAAAGCUAACUAUACAAGUUGGAAAUACCUUCAAAGUAUAAAAUAAGUUGUGAAGACAUCUUGUAUGCUAGAAGAUAAGUAAGAAAGCAUGAAAUGAUAAUGUUAUAAGCCUUUAAUAGGGUGUAAAUGAUAAUUGUAAUGUGAUUACCUAUUAUAAGCAUACAAAACCCUAUUAAAGAGAAAAAUGGCUAUCGUAAGAAAAUAGAUGAGGUAUUUGAAAAAUGUAUAUAAGUAUCUCAAAAGUAACAUCACAAACUAAAGAUAUGGUUUAUGUGAUUAUGUGUUAUAUAAGCAUACAAGUUAUAUAACUUGAAUACUUGGCUAAUGUGUUUGUAAAUGAAAAUAUGAUUGUGUAGGAUAUGUGGGAACAAGUUAAGCUGAAUUUUUAUAUGCAUAGUCUACAAACAAGGCAUGUAUCUAAAUCUUACUCUUUAAUUAGCAAGUGUAAGACCCUGAAUUUUAUGAAAUGAAAGUAUUAAUUUUUUUAUAUUUCUAUUCAGUAAAUGGUUAAAUUGAUAAAAUGUUAUAGUUAUAGGUGAUAUGUGAAAAUUUUACAAAGUAAGCAAGUUGUCAUAAAAUAUUCAUUGUGUCGGGGAAAAUUCGUUUGGUCGAGGAAUAUUCUUUUUGUCGGAGAAUAUUCGUACGACGUCACAAUCAUUGAUGGUCCCCAUAACAAAAUAACUGUCGGAUAUAGAAAACGAUAAAAAUGACCUUUUUAUAAAAAUAAUGGCAAAACUUUUACCGUUAAUUGUUGAAAUACCCGGUGAUAAAAGUACAGUAAUACACGUUGUUGUACAGUAGCACACGGUGUUGCACAGUAUCUCUGAUUAUUAAUUUUUACGUAAGAAGUCACUCAAUAAUUUCUACAGUAAAAAUUGCACAGUCUUUCAUAUUAUUGAUGCAAUAAUUGCUACAGUGAUAAUUGAAUAGUAUUUUAUAUUAUUAAUUCAAUAAUUGUCACGACACAUUAACUCAUAUUAUUGAAAUGAUAUUAUUAGAUAGUAUUAUUGACAAUGUCUAGAAAGUUCUGUCGAGAAAAGAGGUUAUGUUAUUUAAUUGCGCGCCAGUAAGGAUAAAUUUUUAUCGGAAAGCCUCCCUCUUUAUUAAGAAUGAUUUGGUUGUCAAUAUUGUGAGCUUAUAAUAUUUAUUAUGAAUAAUUAUUAUAUGGUGGAUAUUUGUUCAAUUUUGAUAUAAAUGAAUAAAUUUAGCAUUAAAUAUUUGUUAAAAGUUUGACAUAUUUUUCUAUGAAAUCACAAUUAUUUUCUCUGAUAAAUUAUUCAUUCAAAUAUAUUAUUAUAAUAUUACAUUAUAAUAAUAUAAUGUGAUAAUAUAACAAUAUAAUUUUAUAAUUUAAAUGGUAAUAUUAUUAUAAUAAUAUAUAAUUUUCAGCAUGUGAAUAAAAGUGGAGUGAAGGUUAUCAUUUUGGUUUUGAAUUCUUUUUUCAAAUUAAUUCCGUGUACGUCUCCUUUUCAAUUCUCCUGCAACCCAUGUUUUCCUAAUUCAUGGGCCCUCACCCAUAAGAAAUGUGAGGAAGUUAGGCAUUGAAAGGAAAAAAAAAGUUAAGCAGAGAAGAAAAAAAAGUUGGGUAGAUUAAUUUGUUUUCUUCCUCCGAGUUGCACUAUAAAAGGGAGGUUACCCCUUCAUUAUAAACACACCAAAAUAUACAAGUGUUCCUACUGCAAUAUUGUGAGUAUUUAUUUUGAAUAUAAGAAUACUUUGAGUGUAAUUUAUAGUGCAAGAUUUUCUCAAGAUAAUAUCCGUUAUACCAAGUCAGAUCUAGUUUCUACUAAGGUAAAUGAUGUUAUUUUCUUUCAAUAUUCAUAAGGGAUAUUAUUUUCGUUCAAUAUUCGUAAGGAAUAUUAUUUUCUUUCAUACUCUAUAGUAUGUAAGUAAUAUUAUUUCGUUUCAUAUUCCUAAAUUUAAACUUACUAUGAUAAGUAUUGCUUCUAUAAUUUCUGAAAUGAUUAGAAAUUACUUGAGGUUUGCACUUCAUCUAAUAUUAUUUCACUGAAAUAUUGGUCUGAACUAUCUUAUUAAAUUUUAAUUUUUUUCAUGUCAGUGUACUAUUCAUCUGGGAUACUAUUCAUACCAGAGUACUAUUCAUUUGGGGUACCAUUCCUGGAUGAUAAGAAUGGUGAAGGAAAUAUGGCUUGGCAGUAUCAAGCUUGCCUCCAUUCGAAGGUUGUUGUUCUGUCAUGAUAAUAAGAAACAACAAAAACAAAAGUAAAGAGAGCAAAAGACUCGGGUAUCAUCCCCUGCUCGGACACCAUGUAAAGAAAAGGGAAAAAUAAUGUUUUUCGAUACUGUUAUUGAAUCAGAAGAUGUAGCUUUAUAUAAGAGAUUUCCUACAAUCAAGCUAAUCCAUUCUAGGUAGUUAUAAGAGAUUUACUACAAUCAUGCUAAUUGCUAAUCUAUUCUAUGUGGUUACAAGUAUAAAAGGUAACUGAACAAAUAUACUACUAAUAUAAUAUAUUUGUCAAUUAAUGAUCAGAUAUCAUUGUCUUUUCC
rnacentral:lncRNA from 1 species